GAUGAAGAACGUAGCGAAAUGCGAUAAGUAAUGUGAAUUGCAGAAUUCAGUGAAUCAUCGAAUCUUUGAACGCACAUUGCGCCCGCCAGUAUUCUGGCGGGCAUGCCUGUCCGAGCGUCAUUUCAACCCUCGAACCCCUCCGGGGGGUCGGCGUUGGGGAUCGGCCCUUUACGGGGCCGGCCCCGAAAUACAGUGGCGGUCUCGCCGCAGCCUCUCCUGCGCAGUAGGUUGCACACUCGCAUCGGGAGCGCGGCGCGUCCACAGCCGUUAAACACCCCAAACUUCUGAAAUGUUGACCUCGGAUCAGGUAGGAAUACCCGCUGAACUUAAGCAUAUCAAUAAGCGGAGGA
rnacentral:misc_RNA from 1 species